UAUAUACUCCCUCCGUCCGGAAAUACUCGUCGGAGAGAUGGGUGUAUCUAGACGUAUUUUAGUUCUAGAUACAUCCAUUUCAAUUCAUUUUGACGACAAGUAAUUCCGGACAGAGGGAGUAUAAA
rfam:Hordeum vulgare subsp. vulgare, WGS project CAJW01000000 data, contig: morex_contig_139192